rnacentral:rRNA from 1 species
UACGUAGGCAGCAAGCGUUGUUCGGAGUUACUGGGCGUAAAGGGUGUGUAGGCGGUUCUUUUAAGUUUGCUGUGAAAUCUCCCGGCUUAACCGGGGAGGGUGCGGUGAAUACUGAGGGACUAGAGUACGGGAGAGGAAAGUGGAAUUCCUGGUGUAGCGGUGAAAUGCGUAGAUAUCAGGAGGAACACCGGUGGUGUAGACGGCUUUCUGGACCGUAACUGACGCUGAGACACGAAAGCGUGGGUAGCAAACAGG